UAAAUAUCAAACCACAGCUCUAUCUCGAACACGAUCUGCUCUCAUUUUAGAAAAAUGUCUAAAAUAAUCGUUUUAAAAUGCGUCGGUCACAAUCCCAAGGAUUUCGAGCUGGACGAAGCGGUGGCGGUGCAAUUCGGGUGUAUCAAGGACCUGUUCCACAGUGACUUCGAUGCCGAAAGCAAGAUAGUAGUCGACGUUCCCAUGAAAUUCAACAGCUACAUCAUAGGACGGAUACUGGAAUUCUGCAGUAGCCGAGCCAGCUUUUCAAGCGACAGGGCGUACUGGGAGCAAGAUUUUUUCCAUCCAUGCAGAGAACCAAACCAAAGGAAGCGAAAGGAGCUUAUCGCAAUAAUGGAGGCGUCUGAAUACCUGGGUAUGGAAUCGCUCGUGGAACUCACCAGUCAUUGGCAAAUUAUCUCAAAGGCAAGAAUCCCGUCACCAUUCGAUCUUUGUGGAAGGUGGAAGGCGACCUCACUGCUGAGGAGGAAGCUAAGGCGUUGGCGAUGGGCGUGGCGAAAUUAGGACAUUAUGUCCAUUGAUGCUCUACAAAAUCUUAUGUGAUUACUGAAGUCUGAAGAAGUUUGUCCAAGUGUCGUUUGUUUGAAGUCAAAAAUAAAGAUGUAGUAGGAUUAUCAAGUUCUGAUCAUUAAAAGUCCUAUUAUAAUUGCUAUGUUUCAUCAUCACUUUGAAGUUCAGUUAAUCAAAAGUACGAUUCAAGAA